UGGUGCACGAACUCAUCCAGGAGGUCUGGGA
rnacentral:piRNA from 1 species